GUACUGUGGGAGAGGCUGAGUAGUACACACUGUAUCAGGUGCAAGGAAGGAGGUCCUGAGCAGUGAAGAAAAAGCCUAAGCUGAGCAGUACUAACGCUCGAGUCACAGACUGGUGAUUAAAGAAAAUGUGUUGCGUCUUGGCCUGUAGCAUCCACCACCUAGGCCUGUUGCCAAGAGCUCUUCACUGAACCCUCUCCUAUGUACCAACAACCUUCCUGAAGUGAGGACACCAGAACUGGACACGCACUAUUCCAGCGAUGAUUGCCCUACUGCCAAAUACAGAGACUCUCUCGCAAUGCAGGACUAUCCUGGGAAGCA